UUAGGGUUAGAUCUUAGUGCUAUUUGUGCAAGAGUUUUUGCUUGCCUAACAAUAGCCUAACACCUGCAGGCUGUAUUUUAUUAUUUUGUUUAAUAUCAUAAAAAAACCUCCUUUCUACACUUCCCUUAUUUUUGAGGAGGCAUUUUUUUUAUUAUCAUUGAGACAUUCUUACAUUGUGAAGGCACUUGUGAAGUUGUUUCUCCAAAGCAAAGUACGUGAACGUACAGCAUUGAUGCCACAGAACUGCACACCAGCACAGGGGAUGGCCAGAGUCAGCAGCUGCCAUCUCACGCUGCGAGAGGUAUCGAGGUGCCUCAGGGAAGAAAAACAGCGUCCCAAACUGCAGGAUGGCAGGAAUGCCACUAACAGCUAAGAGAUACGGC